rnacentral:rRNA from 1 species
CGUAAUAGCUCACUGGUCGAGUCGGCCUGCGCGGAAGAUGUAACGGGGCUAAACCAUGCACCGAAGCUGCGGCAGCGAACGUAUCACUUAAAGCGAUUCAGCGGGUUACGAUUGACGGAGCGAAGCGACGUCAAAGCGUAUACAAAGUCGAGUCGGUUUAAGGAUACGUUCGUUGGGUAGGGGAGCGUUCUGUAAGCCUGUGAAGGUGGCCUGUGAGGGUUGCUGGAGGUAUCAGAAGUGCGAAUGCUGACAUAAGUAACGAUAAAGCGGGUGAAAAGCCCGCUCGCCGGAAGACCAAGGGUUCCUGUCCAACGUUAAUCGGGGCAGGGUGAGUCGACCCCUAAGGCGAGGCCGAAAGGCGUAGUCGAUGGGAAACGGGUUAAUAUUCCCGUACUUGGUGUUACUGCGAAGGGGGGACGGAGAAGGCUAUGUUGGCCGGGCGACGGUUGUCCCGGUUUAAGCGUGUAGGUGUGUGUUCCAGGUAAAUCCGGUUCACUUUAACACUGAGGCGUGACGACGAGGCACUACGGUGCUGAAGCAACAAAUGCCCUGCUUCCAGGAAAAGCCUCUAAGCAUCAGGUAACAUCAAAUCGUACCCCAAACCGACACAGGUGGUCAGGUAGAGAAUACCAAGGCGCUUGAGAGAACUCGGGUGAAGGAACUAGGCAAAAUGGUGCCGUAACUUCGGGAGAAGGCACGCUGACACGUAGGUGAAGUGAUUUACUCAUGGAGCUGAAGUCAGUCGAAGAUACCAGCUGGCUGCAACUGUUUAUUAAAAACACAGCACUGUGCAAACACGAAAGUGGACGUAUACGGUGUGACGCCUGCCCGGUGCCGGAAGGUUAAUUGAUGGGGUCAGCGCAAGCGAAGCUCCUGAUCGAAGCCCCGGUAAACGGCGGCCGUAACUAUAACGGUCCUAAGGUAGCGAAAUUCCUUGUCGGGUAAGUUCCGACCUGCACGAAUGGCGUAAUGAUGGCCAGGCUGUCUCCACCCGAGACUCAGUGAAAUUGAACUCGCUGUGAAGAUGCAGUGUACCCGCGGCAAGACGGAAAGACCCCGUGAACCUUUACUAUAGCUUGACACUGAACAUUGAGCCUUGAUGUGUAG